AUGAGACGGGAUGUUGAGCGUUUUAUUGCUCGCUGCACUACAUGUCAAAAAGCUAAGUCACGCCUCAAUCCUCAUGGUUUAUAUAUGCCUUUGCCUGUACCUAGUGUUCCUUGGGAGGAUAUAUCUAUGGACUUUGUUUUAGGUUUACCUCGAACAAAGAAGGGGAGGGAUAGCAUAUUUGUUGUCGUGGAUAGAUUCUCGAAAAUGGCACACUUUAUACCAUGUCAUAAAAGCGAUGAUGCUGUUAAUGUUGCUGAUUUGUAUCGUGAUACUAAAUUUCUUAGCCACUUUUGGAGAUGUUUAUGGGCUAAGUUGGGGACUAAACUGCUUUUUAGUACUACUUGUCACCCCCAAACUGAUGGACAAACUGAAGUAGUCAAUAGAACGUUGCCUACUAUGCUUAGGGCUGUUUUGAAGAAUAAUAAGAAAAUGUGGGAGGAAUGCUUGCCUCAUAUUGAAUUUGCUUCUAAUCGUUCAUUGCAUUCUACUACUAAGAUGUGCCCUUUUGAAGUUGUGUAUGGUUUCCUACCUCGUGCACCUAUUGAUUUGUUGCCUCUUCCAUCUUCGGAGAAGGUUAAUUUUGAUGCUAAACAACGUGCUGAAUUGAUUUUAAAAAUGCAUGAGUUAACUAAGGAAAACAUUGAGCGCAUGAAUGCUAAAUAUAAACUUGCUGGAGAUAAGGGUAGAAAACAUGUUGUGUUUGCACCUGGAGAUCUUGUUUGGUUACAUUUGCGUAAGGAUAGAUUUCCUGAUUUGCGCAAAUCAAAGUUAAUGCCACGUGCUGAUGGUCCCUUUAAGGUGUUAGAGAAAAUAAAUGAUAAUGCAUAUAAACUUGAGCUGCCUGCAGAUUUUGGGGUUAGUCCCACUUUUAACAUUGCAGAUUUGAAGCCUUAUUUGGGUGAGGAAGAUGAACUUCCGUCGAGGACGACUUCAUUUCAAGAAGGGGAGGAUGAUGAGGACAUCAAUACAAUUGUUACACCCACAGCCCCUGUUGCUAUACAUACUGGACCAAUUACUAGAGCUCGUGCACGCCAACUAAAUUACCAGGUGCUCCGGCGUGGUCAAUAA
rnacentral:rRNA from 1 species